rnacentral:rRNA from 1 species
UGGGGAAUCUUGCGCAAUGGCCGAAAGGCUGACGCAGCGACGCCGCGUGGGGGAUGAAGGUUUUCGGAUCGUAAACCCCUGUUGCCCGGGACGAACAGCCCUUUCGAGGGACUUGACGGUACCGGGUGAGGAAGCACCGGCUAACUCCGUGCCAGCAGCCGCGGUAAUACGGAGGGUGCGAGCGUUGUCCGGAAUCACUGGGCGUAAAGGGCGCGUAGGCGGCUGGGGAAGUCGGUGGUGAAAGCUCGUGGCUCAACUACGAGUCGGCCAACGAUACUCCUCGGCUCGAGCACUGUAGAGGCAGGUGGAAUUCCGGGUGUAGCGGUGGAAUGCGUAGAGAUCCGGAAGAACACCGGUGGCGAAGGCGGCCUGCUGGGCAGUAGCUGACGCUGAGGCGCGACAGCGUGGGGAGCAAAC